GUUAGUAAAAGGGUUGGGGGGCCUGACUCUGUGGCGCCGCCUCCUUCUCCAUCCAUCUCAUUCUUCUAUAUAUCUUUUAAAACCCUAUAUCGAUUUUCAUUCAUGGGUUAUUUCUUGUUUGUUUCUGGUGCAAAGAAUGUCUUCACAAAAAUUUAGCAGAGUUUUUAGUUGUUGUUUUUCUCUUUUUUUUUUUUUUGGUUGGAUAUGCUUUUUGUUUUUGCCUAUGAUGGUAUUAAAUAUACUUUGAGAGAUGUUUUCUCUUUGAAAUAAUUCUAAUCUGAGGCAAAGAAGUAGCCCAAAUUCUUUUAUGUGCUUGUUUCUUUCCAUAUGUAACUAGCAUAAAUUUUGUAGACUGAUAUCUGUAUGCCCUUGUUUGGGUGAUUGGUAACUCACUCUUCCUGUGAAUCUAUGUUUCUAUUCUUCUCGAAGUACUCUGCAGUUUUACAUGAAUUUUGCCUAUGAAAUCUCAGCUUUAAGCUGUUUUUUUUUUUUUGGGUUUAAGAUCUUACAAAGUUAUCUAGUGCUUCGACUAAAUUUGAAGCUGAGUUUUGUUUACUAUAGGGAGGUAAGGUUUUCUUCUUUUAGCUUCGUUUUUUAACCAAACGUCGAACUCUGUUGAUAGUAACUUUAAACUGGUUUACGCUUGUGAAAAAAAUGGUCUCUGUACCUUAUAGAUUUAUGUUUUCUUGAUUGCCACUGAUUGUUUUAGAGUCUAGAGUUGCAAUGAUUUUGUCUCAUUAAUUUUUUUUCCAAAUUUCUUGAUUUUCCUUUAAAAUCUGGUUGUUCUCUAUAAUAAAUUGUGCAAGUGACGAUAAAGAUAGACAGGGACAUCAGUACCCAUUGGAGGAUGAUGAGUUGUCUAAAAUGGGAAUCUCUCUGAUGCACAAAACUAAUUGGUUUUAUUUCAUGCAUGAGUUUCUUUUUCAUGAUUUGAUAAAAUUUGUACAAAAUUUUAGAUGAAAGGUUUCUAAGGAGUAUUUUGGUGUAUGCACAAAACUAAUCCUUGUUUACUAUAGGGAGCUUGAAAUGCCUCCUGGUUCAGCGGAGUUGUCUUUUGUGGUUGAAAUGCCUAAUGAUUAUUAUAAAGAACGGAGAUUUGAAUGGUGCUUCUUGUUGCAGCUUGAUGAUUUAUUGAGCUCCAAAGGGCAUUGCAUGUGAUAAACAAUUUUAUAUCAAAUAUGAAGGCAUAAAUACAAGCUGUUUUUCUUUAUGUAUCAUGUUACAAUUUAUACUAUUAAAGAACUCUGAUCGAAUUAGUUGCAUUGGGUUAAGCAAUUAAUUAGUCAAUCUAUAUUAAGUAGGAAGUAAUACCCUAACUUGAUUUUCCUUUGGCUCCCUCCUUCUUGUCCAUCCAUCCCAUUCUUCUAUAACUCUAGUAAAAUCUUAACUCUGUUAAACAAUUGUAUUCAUAUUUCACAAAAUUUAACAGAGUUUGUAGUUGAUAAUUUUUCCGUUUAUGUUUUUGUUUAUUCUAUUUUUUGAUAAAUUGUUUAUGCUAAUUUUGUUUUGCCUAUGAUGGUAUUAAAUAUACUUUGAGAGAUGUUUUCUCUUUGAAAUAAAUCUAAUCUGAGGCAAAAAAGGAAAUCCCAAUUCUUGUGUGCUUGAUUUUACAUUUGGGUUUUGUUAUUGAUUCUGCUUAUUUGUAUGGAUGUUCAUAUGUAACUACCAAAAUCAGUAAGCCCUUCGUGCCACUGAUUUGGAGUCUGGAAUUGUAGUUUUUUAAUUUCAUUAAUUGUUUCUAAAUGUCUUGAUUUUCCAUUCAAACCUUGUUGGUUUCUCUUAGAAAUUUAUGCAAGUGACUAUAAAAAUAGACAGGGACAUCAGCACCCAUUGGAGGAUGAUGAGUUGUCUAAAAUGGGAAUCUCUCUGAUGCACAAAACUAAUUGGUUUUAUUUCAUGCAUGAGUUCUUUUUCAUGAUUUCAUAAAUUUUAUACAAAAUAUUAGAUGAACGGUUUUGAAGGUGUGUUUUUUUGUAUGUUUAAUUCAUCAAUCAUUGUUUUAAGCUUGAAAGACUCAGGUUUGUCAAUGAUGCAUCUUAAUGCACGUAUUAUCAGAUCAAAUAAUGAUGAUAUCUGAUAAUUGUCACUACCUCUGAGACAGACCGUAUGAUAUGUCUAUCGAAUUUUGCUUUAAUUUGGAUUGUUUCAUAAGCAAAUUUUAUACUUAAUGAUUGUCACUUCUUUAUGUUGAUGGUGUUAAAUGUACUUUUGGUUGAAUUCAGUAGCAUUCUUUGAGGCUUUUCUACAAUUUGUUUCUCACUUACACUUGUGUGGAGUAGGGUUAUGUACCUAUCUUAAUUCUGGUAAUCAUAUCUUUGUACUUGUAAGCAAAUGCUCAUUGAUGUUGUGCUGGCAUGUUCAAUUGGUGUAGCUGCUGUUUUCUUCUUUGCCGUCCUAUAAUAUCUACAUAUUUUGCUGAAGUUCAUCUUAGAUUAUAAGAAUCAAUUGCCAGUGAGGAUAUCUAUGACAAAUACCAUCUUUCGGGACUGAAUUGCUCUUCGAGCUUUGAUGUCCGUCUGCAAAUCUGAGGCAUUUGUGCUGCAUAUAAUGCUAGCAUGUAGGGUAAUAGAAAACCAUAAAUAGUUUAGCAUUUUGUUGGGAAACGUAGUAUGUUUAAUAUAUUCAUUGUAAUUAUUGUUUCAUCAAAUUUGAAGGUUCUUACAAAUAUUGUCUUCGGUUGCACCAUCUCAAUAACUUGGUUGAUGCUAAUAUCUUAGCAUGCAUUUUUGUGCUGUGCAGCUUCUGCUUGUUAAGUCGUAGGCUUACAAAAGUUGUAUGACAUUUGAUUUUCAGCUGUAUCAGUUUUGGACGUCAUGAUGUUUAUUAGCCUUGGAUAUCAUACUACCUUAUAGCUGGUUUGUUCUAUUGGAAAAAGGAUCUCUCUAUGUUAAAAUCUAUGUUUUUCUUGGGUGACACCAACUGAUUUAUAGUCUAGAAAUUCAAUGAUUUAGUUUUCCACUGAAAUCUUGUUAAAAAUAUGUGCAAGUGACGAUAAAAAUAGACAGGGACAUCAGUACCCAUUGGAGGAUGAUGAGUUGUCUAAAAUGGGAAUCUCUCUGAUGCACAUAAAGAAUUCAUUCGGAAGCAUGUAUUUCUUUUCAUGCUUUGAUAAUUGUUAUACAAAAUUUUAGAUGGAAUCAGAUUAUUGUCUCUUUAAGUAGUUUUCUGUCACAUGCUAAUGCUAAUAAUUUUUGUUUAAAUCUUGAUUAGCUGGUUUGUCAAUGAUGCAUCCUAAUGCACGUACCAGCACAGACCAUUUGAUGCGUAUUUAAUUUGCUUUAAUUGUGUCAUACAUAAUCAAAUUUAGCACCUCAUGGUUCUUUGAUUUUGGUGAUGGUGUUAAAUUUUUACUUGAGUUAAUUCUGUAACUGUCUUUGAAGCUCUUUGACCAUGUAUGCCAAACUUUUUGCCACUAAAAUUGCUGACUUUGCAGUUUCGAUUUUUGGUCAUGUUAGCCAGUAUUUGUUCCAGGGGCAGCGUGUAGAUGUACUUCUUCCCUAAAGUUGUAAUUUAUUUAAGAAUAGGGCACGUUUGGUUCGCUUUAUUAGAAUAGAGGCGUAAUGGAAUGAAGGUGUAAUAGCAAAUCAAUUGUUUGGUUGAAUGUAAUGGAAUAGAGGCGUAAUAGUAUUAUUGUGUUUAGUUGAAUGGAAUAGAUGUGUAAUAGUAUAAUGAAAAAAAUUAAAAUGAUUAGAAUAUUUUAGUAUAAA